rnacentral:rRNA from 1 species
UGGGGAAUAUUGGGCAAUGGGCGAAAGCCUGACCCAGCGACGCCGCGUGGGUGAUGAAGGCCUUCGGGUUGUAAAGCCCUGUCAUGCGGAAAGAACAGUCUUACGGUUAAUACCCGUAAGAUUUGACGGUACCGCAGGAGGAAGCACCGGCUAACUCCGUGCCAGCAGCCGCGGUAAUACGGAGGGUGCAAGCGUUGUUCGGAAUUAUUGGGCGUAAAGGACGCGUAGGCGGUAAUGAAAGUCAGAUGUGAAAUACUUCGGCUCAACUGAAGAACUGCAUCUGAAACUUCAUAACUAGAGUACAGAAGAGGGAAACGGAAUUCCCGGUGUAGAGGUGAAAUUCGUAGAUAUCGGGAGGAACACCAGUGGCGAAGGCGGUUUCCUGGUCUGAUACUGACGCUGAGGCGUGAAAGUGUGGGGAGCAAACAGG